UAUUAAUUGAAUUAUGUCUUUUUUACAGUCCUAUUCUUUUAGAUUUGCUACUUUUGUAGUUAGAAAUUCAACACAAAUGUUUGAUAGCUAGUUUAUAUACUUGUUUAUAUGGUGAUUUUGGGCAACAAAGUGAAACUCAUCUGUAGGCCUGUCAUGAUUAGAAGUCUUACUACAAUGAACCUGAAAUGAUUUAUUUACUCCAGUGCAAGUACCUGAUGUGGGAACACUUAAAUGGUCUUAAGCUGUACUUGAGCUACAUUAGUUUACCCUGGUAAUUUAUCCAGUGAAAUGUAAAUCCUAUGAUUUAAACUGGUUUAAGUGUGUUUUAUAUGAGGGACUGGUACUACUGUAACUAAAUCAGUGUAGCUGGAGCAGUGGGAAAUACUAUGUAUACAAGCCCUAGGAUUCUUCUAUAUGCUUAACUGGAAAUGAAUUAUGUUUUUCCAAGGCACGUUUUGACAUGAUGCAAUAAGAACACAGUUACAAAGUCCCAUCUGCCUCUUUUACACUGUAAAUACAACUCUGUUGGGGAGCCUCCAUACUUGAAGCUGUGUGACAAUAAGCUUACAAAAGGUUCUGUCUUUAGGAGAGUUCAGACAUUGUCUCUAGGGUUCAUUGUAUGCAGAAAGAGGAAAGGAACUGGUAAACAAUUGGCUGGAAUUUUCAAAUAAGUAAUAUGAACAGAAAAUAAUUCAGUAUAGUUUGUAGGUUUGCUUUUUGGUUUAUUGUCUCUUCUGCAGAUAUAACACUUUUUAUAUAAGAUUGGUUUUUUUCCUGAUGCUCUAAUUUUGACUAAUUUGGUUUCAUAUUGAAAUAGAUAAAUUCGCAUUGUGAAAUCAGUGUUACUAACUGGUCAGGGUUCCUGUCUUUUUUAAUCUUCAACAUUUAAAGCAUUAAAAUUUCUCACAUAGUUAUGUUUAUAUGUUGUCAUGUCUCAAAAUUGACAAAUCAGGUGGCAGGGAGAGGAUUUCAGCUGUGUUCAGGAUGAUUUAGGAAUGCAGUUCCAGGUAUAUCACAAAUUUGAGAUUAAAAUGUUUUCUUACGUAGUUGAUCUGAUAAGAAAUAAUGUAGAAAUCAUCUUGGGGAAUGUAUAACUAUGUUUAUGUACAUGUGUACAGAGGUGAUAUCUGUAUAACGAAUUUAUUAUGCAACAUCAAUUCUCUAUCUACUAAUCUGUUUGUAUUCACUCUUAAAAACUUAACCAUUCAGGACAUGUAUUACUUAUUCGUAAAAUAUUAGCCUCCUUACAAAAUUUCCAUUUUGAAUAAUAGGUAUCUAGAGUUAGUCAUAAAAUUAUGACGUUUGUUAUCAGUUUAGUCUAAAGAUUUCAGAUGAAACCAUUAUGUUCUUGAUAGGGAAUG